GAGAAACAGACAGGGUUUGUCCUCAAGAAGAUAGAAUCAUUGAUGGUGUCAGAACUGGAUUAUUAUGUGCUCAACUUCCACCGCAGGACUACUAUGAAGCUUUCAGAUUGAACUCACUUAAUCUUAAUGGCCGAGGCAAAGAGCUUUGUCUUUUUUCAGGGCAUAAGAUAUGAUGUCAUUGGGAGGCUUAAAUCUUACAAGCAUGAUUGGAGCAGUGGUUUCAGAUAUGGAUUAAGGGUGUUCAGGAAGGAGAAGAUAAAUUGAGUUAUAUUUAGUUAUGUAGAGCAUCAUGUUUCACAGUGCCUUGAACAAGACAUGAACCAAGAUCGCUUGGUCUCAUGGAGCCAACAUAGCGAAACUGAUAAAGAGGAAAGAAGGCUGAUCAUCAGCAGGACACAAGGAUCGAUGACAAUAUGGCGACGCUGGAGACUUUCACCCUACAGACGUCCUUAUACCAGUUGGUUUGAUGAUUCUGAGAAGUUAGGGACUCUUGAUCUUUGCAUUCCAGCGCAGAAAGAUACCCAGAUUUAGUGCUAUAAUCUCCUGAUGGAAUCUUAAGCCACACCAGUCUGUCUGGAGCCCCGAUCAAGCUUGGUUUGAUGAGUCUGGUACUCUGUUACUCUGUUGGCGGUACUCUUCAAUCGAAGCAAACUCAACAUAGGCAAAUUCACAGAAACGGCCAUCGCGUCCUAUAGCCAUUGUAACAUUAAUAACUUGGACAGCUUAUUUGAAGAAGCUUCUCGCUUUGGAGGAAAACAAUAGUAAAAUCAAUGGAAAACUUUCAAAAAAUGACCAAAGGUGUGUGUGUGUGUGUGUGUGUGUGUGU